rnacentral:lncRNA from 1 species
CUAGCAUUCUUCUCACUUGGUGAAGCCCAGAGCUCACACUCUUGAUGUAGCCCUUAUCAGUGAAUCUCAGCAUCAGAAGCAGUAUCCUGAUAUCUUGGAGGGAAGAGAUGGUGUCCUGGUAUCCCAUACAUUCUGCCUACUCUAGGGAGACCCUCCGGAAACACUCAGCUGUUAGGUCUUAUUUUCUUUCUUGCAGUAAAAGGUUUCCUCUCUUUCACUCCUGAAUUCUCCUAGUCACAAGGAAGGACAGUUAUGUCCUGAGUGAUAAAGGAAAGCUGACAAGGGCCUUUAGUAAUCAUUUAUCUUCUGUUGCAGAAGAGAUUCUAUCUUUUUCACUGGGGACCCACCCUUCCAUGACUAUAUGAGAGCACCAUCUCCUACCUGCUAUCCCUGUUCUAGGCCAGCCACGACAGAAAGAGGAUUUUAUACAGAGAAAAUGCCUAUCUGUGCAACCAGGCAUUUCUCUCUUCGGUGUGGCGGUCAUUCACCGGGGGUGUCCGAGGGAAACCACUUUGGGGAUGAGACUCUGAACUAUGCUGAGAAGUUGUGGACUAAAUGGACAACUACUAUGGGUAAAAAAUGUUUUAGAGGUGGGACUCUAAGACCAGCUGAUAUGGUUUAGCUCUGUGUCCCCAUCCAAACCUCACCUUGUAGUGCCCAUAAUCCCCAUGUGUCAUGGGAGGGACCCAAUGGGAGGUAAAUGAAUCCUGGGGGCGGUUACCCUCAUGUUGUUCUCAUGAUAGUGAGUGACUGCUCAUGAGAUCUGUUGGCUUCAUAAGGGCUUUUCCCCCUUUUGCUCAGCACUUCUCCUUCCUGCCAGCAUGUGAAGAAGGAUGUGUUUGCUUCCCCUUCUGCCAUGAUUGUGAGUUUCCUUAGGCCUCACCAGCCCUGUGGAACUGUGAGUCAAUUAAACCUCUUGCCUUUAUAAAUUACCCAGUCUCAGGCAGUUCUCUAUAGCAGCGUGAGAAUGGACUGAUACACCAGGAAUAUGUCAACAAUAUUGAGUCUUACCUUUACAUCGAUAUCCUUGUUUGAUCACUCCCCAGAGCUAUGAAACAAGAGACAGAAUGCACCACAUGUCAUUCAUCCAUCUGGUGUGAGGCUACAAGGUGACAUUCCUUUAUUUUCCUUCAUUUUACUCUCUAGCUCAAGUGGGAAGGAAACCUCAUUUAUCUCUCAUGUCUUGUCCCUUCUGACCUUAAAUCCAUGAGAAGAGUUUAUGCUGAUCAAAGUUUCUCAAGAAGCAGGUUUUUUUUGUUUUGUUUUUUUUGAGACAGUCUUGCCCAGUUGCCCAGGCUGGAGUGCAGUGGUGCGAUCUCGGCUCACUGCAACCUCCACCUCCUGGGUUCAAGCAAUUCUCCUGUCUCAGUUUCCCAAGUAGCUGGGACUACCAGGCAUGUUCCACCACACCUGGCUAAAUUUUUUUGUAUUUUUAGUAGAGACGGGUUUUCACCAUGUUAGGUGGGCUGGUCUCGAACUCGGGGCCUCAAGUGAUCUGCCUGCCUUGGCCUCCCAAAGUGCUGGGAUUACAGGCAUGAGCCACCACACCUGGCUCUCACUAGCAGCCUUAUGACCCAGACAUUCUCGAGAAAUGGAUGAAUCAUCGGGCAAACAGGUUCCUCAGGACUCCAAACUGAGAAGGAUAUAGAGCCUUGCAUCAGGACCCGAGUUUAGGGGGAAACGAUUGGUCAGGAGUGGAACGGAAGAGGGGCAUAGCCAAGGUUAUCUCCUAAAGACAGAAGGUAUCUCAUAUGUCUUUGUUAUAACACUUGAAACAGCACAUGAAUAUUAUACUUUAAAAGUAUAUCCUAAUUCAGCAUUUCUGGUACCAUUUAUCUAAGGCCUCAUUGCAAUAGAAAAGAAAAAACAGGAAGAAGCGAGAGAUGAUGAGUGCAGGUAAAAACCACACGCUUGAGCUCUAGGUUAUUCUAGGUGUCUGUCUGGGCUCCAAGCUGGGAUGGGUUCAUAAGGAUUGUGAGGUCUGUGCCUGUCUUAAAGUAUCCCACACUCUUCCCCAAAUUCAGCCCUGGAGCACCCUAAGAACAACUUACAAAUCCAGCACAGUUGUCACAAAAAGUGGGCUUCAGGUAGGUGGUCUCUUGGAAGUUGUGAGGAAAGCCCAGGCCCAGCUUGGAAUAGAUUGAGCUGGCUCUCAUGAAGUAGGCUGUGAUCUCAUCCCUGCUGAUGAGGCCUUCCCUGCCGGCAGAUGACCAAGGCAAGGAUGUGAGUAUAAGGGGCAUGGAGGCAGGUAGCAAGGGGGGGCUUCUAGCCUUAGAAACUCACCUUUCUUUUUAUCCUCAGUGGUAAUAUGGUAUGUGCUACCUCAUGAUUACUUCCAUGGGCCCUACUCUUAACAAGGAUACAAGAUGACAUGUGGUAAGUAGGUAAGGCAGCAUUACUCAUUUCCACAGAGGUGUUCUUUGGCCAAACUAGGUUUCCCUAACUAACUUGACCACUAUCUAUAAGACUUGAAAAAGAAACAAUGUAACAUGUACAUGUGUAUAGGGAGGGAAAUGUCUUAUGCUACAGUUUCUGACUUUAGACAGUACCUAACUGGAACCCACUAACCAUAUGAUUAGUUUCCUAUAGAGAACCAAGAUAGAAUUUAUUUAACCUUGAGAAAAGUAAAAAUGCAAAGUAUGAAUAAGUAUUAGUUGUUUCCCAAAAUCUGUAAUGACAAAGCAAGAAGGAAGACUAAACUUUUUCUUAUUUAUAGUUGACUAUUUAUAAAGUGGCAGAUUUAUGGAAUGUUCAAUUCAGUUUUUGUUUUUUUUUUUUUUGAGACAGGUUUUUGCUCUUGUGGCCCAGGCUGGAGUGCAGUGGCAUGAUCUCGGCUCACUGCAACCUCCGCCUCCUGGGUUCAAACAACUCUCCUGCCUCAGCCUCCCGAGUAGCUGGGAUUACAGGUGCCCACCACCACACCUGGCUAAUUUUUGUAUUUUUAGUAGAGACAGGGUUUCACCAUGUUGGCCAGGUUGGUCUCGAACUCCUGAGCUCAGGUGAUCUGCCCACCUCGGCCUCCCAAAGUGUUGGGAUUACAGGCGUGAGCCACUGUGCCCAGGCCCAGAAUAUUUUUAAAAGAAUGCAUAUUUCAUGGUCUGUUCUUUAAGUGAUCACAGCAGCAACAUAUCUGAGUUUUCAAAUUCUUCUAGUGACAUACCUAUAAACCUAUUCUCACCAAUGGGCUCAUAACCACAUAUUCCUAAGUACAAACCCUCACCUGUCUUUGUCCAUCACACAGAAGGAAAAUGGAAAACUCGCAGCAAUCUUUUCAAAUUCUUCCUGAGAAAUGUAUCCAUCCUGGUCGUGAUCAUAGUUCUUGAAGACAGACUGUGAAAAAGGAGUUUUUUUGGUGAUUACUAAAGAGAAACCGGUCUUCUCUCCCUUUAGUCAAAUGACAAAGAGCUGGGGCAGUUGGAUAAAAGCCUUUUAACAACCUGAACGAGAGGAACAGGGAAACCUGCUCCUUUAGCUGUGGCAAAGAUGUGGCAGGUCACAUCUCAGGCCUUUGCUGGUAGCAGCAUGUGGGGGGUGGCCAUGUACUUUGAAUCAUUAGCACGUCAAUUAUACUAUCACGCUGGCUACUCCUAGUUCACUGCGCAGAGGGAUGUUCUCCUUUCACUCUACCCUUUUUUUCAUCACUCAGCUCCAGUUGUACCUUCUUUGAGAAGCUUCUACAAACAGCCCAGUUGGAAGUGCUCUGUCCCCACUGUUAAUCCUCUUGUUUCUCACCGUUACGCUCUUAGUUUUCCAUUGUUACAUGUGAGUUGUCCACGAGGAUACAUGCAUAAGUAUGAGAAUAUAUACCCCUUCCUCAGCAAUUAGCACAGAGAAUUGAAUUAAGCAGUACAAAGGUUUUCAGUUUUAGGUUUACCUGAUUACCCCUUACUAUACUCAAAUGCAUCCCAAUACUUCUGUACUCCUAAAUCAACUGACAACCUUUAAGCAUAUGCUCUUUUGCUAGGUCUUGAAGAGGAGGCACAACUGCCUUCAUAUGAGUCCAGUGUGUGUUGUCAAAAUGUAACUUUUGAAUUGUUCUAAAGCCACAGUAAGAGAAGUAAGUGGUUCAAGUUUCGUGCCUUUACAUUUCCACCAUUGUGCUUUCCUCUCCCUUUACCCCACAUACAAAACUGAGCCAGGCAAUGCCUAGUUUUUGUGUGCUGAACACAGCUGUACUUACAUCCACCAUCCUCUGGACGUGUUUGCUAAUGGUUUUUGGAUCAGGUUUGGGAGACACUCCAGAAGCCCAGUCCACUACUACUGGUGGCUUUGAAGGUGUUAGUGGCUAAAAUGAAAUAUUUAGAGAAAUCCUCAUGACUACAAUGCAAUAUUAUAACCUAUAGCUCUUUCUUUUCCCACUACCUGACGGUUACAUUUAUGGACAAUCUUCAAUUAUGUUCAGUGGCAAGGAGCAGAGAACCCACAGGCAAUUGAAAUCUCUACUAAUAAUUUUGGCUAACAAGGCAUUGUGCUUACGGUUUCCAGAGUGCUCUUCACAUACAUUAUCUGCAGCUACAGAUAAUUUGAAAUUCUCAAUCUGCCUGAGUUGCAAUUCCCUCUCCAUUAAACCCUUUGUCAGAGCUAUCAACAAAGAGUAAAGUGGAUCAUUUAUGAUUCCUCUCUAUUCUCCAGUCACAUUUUGCAGUAGAAAUGUGAAUAAGGAAAAGCUUAGCUAAAAGGCAGGAAGGCACAAGAAAAAUCAUCGGAAGCCUGGACAAGCUCUUUUCUAAAUACAGUCAUGCAUCACUUAAUGACUGGGAUAUGUUCUGAGAAAUGUGUCAUGAGGUGAUUUUGUCAUUGUAUGAGCACCACAGUGUGUACUUACACAAACCUAGAUGGUAUAGCCUGCUACACACCUAGGCUAUUUGGUAUAGCCUACUGCUCCUAGGCUACAUACCUAUACAGCAGGUUAUUAUACUCAGUACUGUAGGCAAUUGUAAUGAUGGUAUUUGUGUAUCUUAACAUAUCUAAACAUAGAAAAGGUAAAAAUAUGGUAUAGAAAUUUUUUUUUAAUGUUACACCUGUAUAGGGCACUUAACCAUGAAUAGAGCUUUCAAGAUUAGAAAUUACUGUGGCAAGUCGUGAGUGGUGAGUGAAUGUGGAGGCCUAACAUUACUGUAUACUCCUAUAUACUUUAUAAAUACUGUACACUUAGACUACACUAAGUUUCUUAAAUUUUUUCUUCAAUGAUAAAUUACCUUAUUUUACUGUAAAAGCUUUUAAUUUUUUUAACUUUUACUCUUUUGUUAUGACACUUAGCUUAAAGCACACAUUGUAUAGCUUAUAGCUGUACCAGUUAUUUCCUUUAUAGCCAUAUUCUAUAAACUUUUUUCUAUUUUAAAAAUGUUUAAUUUUUUAAAUCUUUGUUAUAAACUAAGGUACAAUUACACUCAUUGGCCUAUGUCUAUAUAGAGUCAAGAUCAUCAAUAUCACUGUCUUCCACUCCACAUCUUAUCCUAUUGGAAGGUCUUUAGGGGCAAUAACAUGCAUGGAGCUGUCACCUUCUGGAGGACUUGCCUGAGGCUGUUUUACAGUUAAUUUUUCUAAGUAGAAGGAAUGCACUCUAAAAUAAUGAUAAAAAGUAUUGUAUAGUAAGUGCAUAAACCGGUAAUACUUACUAUCAAGUAUUAUGUACUGUACGUAAGUGUAUAACCUAGACUUUUUACAGCUCAGUAGGUUUGUUUACACCAGUAUAAUCACAGACAUAGUGAGUAAUGUGUUGUGCUACAAUGUUACAAUUGUUCUGUCACUAGGCAGUAGUAAUUUUUCUGCUCCAUUAUAAUCUUAAGGGACCACUGUGGUAUAUGAGGUCUAUCACUGACCAAAAUGUCAUUAUGUGGUGCAUGACUGUAUUUGAAACUCAGCCCAAAUUAAAAUCUCUCUGAAAAAACAGAAUGUACCCUUUCCAUUGAAAUGCCUCUAACCUGAAAAUGGAAUCUACCAAAUAUUUUCAGUGGAAUCUUUCAUUACAAUAGAAAGCUAGAACUUGAUCUUUCUGUGUGGAGGAGUGCAAUUUAGCCACCCCAAUAGAUGAGCUGGAUUUCUUAAGUGUGGGCAACUCUCUUCCCUUGAGUAUCACUUGUUUUGGGGUUUGGAAACGUCCCAGGAGACUGAAGUGAUUUUACUUGCCUGUGGGAGGGUAGGGCAGAUAACCUGUGAAGUUCCUACUGCAGGCAGUGCCAGGACUGUGUACUAUUUUGAGGACUUCUCAGCAUAGGAGGUCAAAAGACUCAGCAGACUGUUCUUUUCACCCAGAACAUUACAGGAAAAUGGGGCUUUUCUAUCUACCAACCUGGAAAUCUUCAGAAAUUUAGCUUCUGAUUAGUACGCAUAUUACUCUCAUUAUCAUCAAUGAAUCAUAGAAAAGAAAUUUAUGUGGGGACUCUUCUUAAUGCGGGGGGGAUGUCACUCUGGUGCACAAUAGUAUCUUCCUUCUCUACUUUGUAAACCACUGACUGAUUCCACCACACCUGGCAUUCUGAUGAUAUAGUUAUUUACUGUUCACUAGUUAUUCACUGGUCACACAUUAGGCUUAUCCCUUCAACUAUAUCACAGCUUUUUAAUGGACAGGAACUAUUCCUCAGACAUAUGUUGAAAAGCUUUCUCUGUUCCUAGCAUAAGGUUGAGCACUAAGAAAAACAGUACAUGUAUUAAACUGAACUGAAAGUCUGUUCCUGAGGAUGAAUGAACUCGAGGAGAAGCUUGUAAAGCACCUGUUACAUGUGGAGUCUUAAUAUGAAAAACUCACUGGAGCUCUGUGGUUCCUUGGUUCCCGGGCAUAGGAAAGCUCAUAGAUUUCAUCCUCAGUGUAGUAAAGAUCCAGGGAUAACUGCAGAUCAAAGCAGAACAGGGUUCAUUGCUAAGAUGCUGUUUGCCUCUCCCACAGCUGAUGGUUCUUUCUUGGAUUUUCCUUGCCAGUAGUUUACUCUUUUAGGUUCUAAACAGUUUGUUUUUAAAAGUCACAAAACAGGUAUAACACCUACUAUUGCAAUAGGGCAAGCAUUAAUUCUCAUUGAAAUGUUUUUAAUUUUGGACAUAGGAUGCCCUCUUUUUAACUAUGAUUUAAAUCUAAGCCUCUAUAUAGAGCUUAGGCCAAAGGCCUUGUCUGGACAGAUGACUAAUACAUCACUUGUUCUCUCUCAAAGCAGACAGAUGAUCUGAAAGGAUGGUGUGUAUAGUCUGAGACUAUUAAAUUUGAGUCCAGCAAUAAAAUCCAGUUUAAAUGGUGAAAUCAACAACUUGGGGACUUUUGCUUCAACCCUGGACUUACUAAUUCACUAUGCAGACCACCCUGAGGGUCAAGUAGCUACCGACAGGAAGCACUGCUGUGGGGGGACCCCAAGCUGAAGAGGAGCAAGCUCUCUCUUAUAAGCUAAAUGACAUGAAGGCUUCUUAAUCUCUGUGACUAUUUCUCUCUGUCACCUCUGAGAUGUGGGCAAUCUUUUCAACUGUUCCACCUGGUUUCAGCAGAACCGUUAAGGAAUGAAGAGGUGACUAAAGAUGAUGCCCUUUUGAUCAGACCACUGGGAAGUGGGGGGCCUCCCCAGAGGCCCAGCAUUGUGAUAACAGAGAUAAUAAAAGACUCCCCAAAAGGGAGCUGAACACCUGGGAAAAACAGAUGGGGUAAUGAGCUUAGGUAUCUCUCCCUAAAAAGAGAGUUCCUCUCCAUGCUAGUUUGGAAGGAUUGGGGCUUGAGUAUAGUAAGGUCCUCUUACAUGAAAGUGCUCAAAGAGCAGUCAUUAUCUAACCCAUGCCAUACAUUUAUAUCCUCGGUAUAUUACAGUGGUUUAUAUUUAUAACAACAGCUCCAGCUGGACUCAGUGGCUCAUGCCUGUAAUUCCAAUACUUUAGGAGGCCGAGAUGGGAGGAUCGCUUGAGGCCAAGAGUUGGAGACCAGUCUGGACAACAUAGGGAGACCCUUAUCUCUACAAAAAUUUUAAAAAAUAGCUGGGCAUAAUGGUGUGCACCCAUGGUCCUAGCUACUUGGUAGGCUGAGGUGGGAGGAUUGCUUGAGCCCAGGAGUUUGAGACUGCAGUGAGCUAUGAUCGUGCCAGCCUGUGCUCCAGCCUUGAUGACAGAGGAAGACCCUGUUUCUAUAAAAAAGAGAAACAAGCAAAACAGCCCUAUGUCAUAAAAGAUAAAAGUAUAUUCUGUAAAAUCUAAUAAUGUAGGAAAAUGUACAGGACAUUUAAGAAAAAUAUUCAUUAAUAAAACAUUAUGUAUUACAAAAUGGUAUCUGAAGAACUCAUAUCCAAUUAUCUGGUAAAAUUCAACUAUCCGGAAUGUCAUUCUUCAAGGGUUCUGGAUAGCUAAGUUUUUAAUAUAUCACUAUAUAACUACACUCAAUGUGCAAACUGACCUAUGGUCAACCGAACCACAAUUCCUUUUGAGAACACAUUUUAGAGCAAGGAGCUGGAGCGAGGGAAUCAGUGUCAAAGAUGG